UACAGAGGGUGCAAGCGUUGUUCGGAAUUAUUGGGCGUAAAGAGCUCGUAGGCGGUUUGUCGCGUCUGCCGUGAAAGUCCGGGGCUCAACUCCGGAUCUGCGGUGGGUACGGGCAGACUAGAGUGCAGUAGGGGAGACUGGAAUUCCUGGUGUAGCGGUGAAAUGCGCAGAUAUCAGGAGGAACACCGAUGGCGAAGGCAGGUCUCUGGGCUGUAACUGACGCUGAGGAGCGAAAGCAUGGGGAGCGAACAGG
rnacentral:rRNA from 1 species